rnacentral:rRNA from 1 species
UACAGGGGUCUCAAGCGUUGUUCGGAUUCAUUGGGCGUAAAGGGUGCGUAGGUGGCGCGCUAAGUCAGGUGUGAAAUUUCGGAGCUUAACUCCGAAACUGCAUUUGAUACUGGCGUGCUUGAGGACUGGAGAGGAGACUGGAAUUCAUGGUGUAGCAGUGAAAUGCGUAGAGAUCAUGAGGAAGACCAGUGGCGAAGGCGGGUCUCUGGACAGUUCCUGACACUGAGGCACGAAGGCCAGGGGAGCAAACGGG